AAAAGACUUAGUCCUAACCUUACCGUUAGUUCUUGCCAAACAUAUACAUGCAAGUAUCCGCACACCAGUGAAAAUGCCCUCACCACCUUAACAAGACUGUAGGAGCAGGCAUCAGGCCCACUUCUCAACCGUAGCCCAAGACGCCUUGCCCAGCCACACCCCCACGGGUUUUCAGCAGUAAUUAACAUUAAGCAAUAAGUGUAAACUUGACUUAGUUAAAGCAAUCCACCAGGGUUGGUAAAUCUUGUGCCAGCCACCGCGGUCACACAAGAAACCCAAAUUAACCUUUCACGGCGUAAAGAGUGGACUCCAACUAUCACUAAAACUAAGAUUGAAACACAGCCAGGCUGUUAUAAGCACAAGAUGAACUUAAUAUCCACUAUCAAAAUGAUCUUAGCAUCACGACCAAUUCAACUCCACGAAAGCCAGGGCACAAACUGGGAUUAGAUACCCCACUAUGCCUCGCCCUAAAUCCAGAUGUCCACCUACCCAGACAUCCGCCUGAGAACUACGAGCACAAACGCUUAAAACUCUAAGGACUUGGCGGUGCUUCAAACCCAUCUAGAGGAGCCUGUUCUAUAAUCGAUAAUCCACGAUACACCCAACCACCUCUUGCCCAAUCAGCCUAUAUACCGCCGUCGCCAGCUCACCUUAAACUGAAAGAUCCACAGUGAGCACAAUCGCCACAUAUCCGCUAACAAGACAGGUCGAGGUAUAGCCUAUGAGGUGGAAGCAAUGGGCUACAUUUUCUAAAUUAGAACACCCCACGACAAGGAGUGUGAAACCCCUCCUAAAAGGCGGAUUUAGCAGUAAAGCAGGAUAAUUAUACCUCCUUUAAACUGGCCCUGAAGCACGUACAUACCGCCCGUCACCCUCCUCACAAGCUAUCAUAAUAACUAUUACCUAAUCCACCCCAAAGCUAAAGAUGAGGCAAGUCGUAACAAGGUAAGUGUACCGGAAGGUGCACUUAGUCUAAC
rnacentral:ncRNA from 1 species